rnacentral:rRNA from 1 species
UUUUGACCUCAGUUCAGACAAGGCUACCCGCCGAAUUUAAGCAUAUUACUAAGCGGAGGAAAAGAAAAUAACAAUGAUUCCCCUAGUAACGGCGAGCGAACCGGGAAGAGCCCAACUUGGAAAUCUGGAGGCUUGUCCUUCCGAAUUGUAGUCUAGAGUUGUGCCAUCUGCGGCUGGCCGGUCCCAAGUUCCCUGGAAAGGGACGUCAGAGAGGGUGAGAGCCCCGUCGAGGCCGGUUUAGUCGCUCCACGAUGCGCUUACAAGGAGUCGGGUUGUUUGGGAAUGCAGCCCUAAGCGGGAGGUAAAUUCCUUCUAAGGCUAAAUAUUGGCGGGAGACCGAUAGCGAACAAGUACCGCGAGGGAAAGAUGAAAAGACCUUUGAAAAGAGAGUUAAAAAGUACCUGAAAUUGUUGAGGGGGAAGCGAUUAAAACCAGCGGGUGCUCCCUAGGUAGGCUUUGCCACACGCUAGGGGCUGGUCAACGUGGGUUAGUCGGGGGGGACAUUACUCCUGACUGACCGAGGACUCGACGUUGGCGGAAUGGUUUUAAUCGGCCCGUCUAGAAACACGGACCAAGGAGUCUAA